rnacentral:rRNA from 1 species
CCGCGUGGCUCUUUGUAAAAAAAAGAUAAAGAGUCGGACCUGCCCGGUGAGAAAAUUUAACGGCCGCGGUACCCUGACCGUGCAAAGGUAGCAUAAUCAUUUGCCUUUUAAUUAAAGGCUGGUAUGAAUGGUUUGACGAAAAUAAUGCUGUCUCUUAUUUGUUAUUUAAAAAUUAAUUUUAAUGUGAAGAAGCAUUAAUUAUUCUAAAAGACAAGAAGACCCUAUUGAGCUUUAAUAAGUGUUGAAAGUAAAAAUAUGUAUCAAAAAAUUACUGUUUUAUGGAUAUUUUAGUUGGGGCGACUGAGGAACAAAAUAGCUUCCUUUAAAUUAAGAGAUUGAUUUAUAAUGAUCCAAAAUAUGUUGAUUAGAAGAAUUAGUUACCAUAGGGAUAACAGCGUAAUCUUUUUUGAGAGUUCUUAUCGAAAAAAAGGCUUGCGACCUCGAUGUUGGAUUAAGAUUUCCAGUUGGUGUAGAAGCUUUCUUUGGUUGGUCUGUUCGACCAUUAAAAUCUUACA